AGGGAGAAGGAGAAGUUUUAACCAUCUUCCCAUGGCAUCUGACUUUUUUGAGGAGGAGAAUGCAGCCAAGAGCAGAAGCAGUGAGGUCCACGAUGGUAAAAAUGAAUCCAGCAGUCCAUCCUAUCCUGUACCUGCCUGAGUACAGGAAGAGACCUCAUACAAAGCCAGAAUGCCUCUGGGCUUGCAGCUCUUUUUAACCAUAUUAAGUCCUAUUCAGAGUUAAUGAUGAGCUCAGUGAGACUGGUCUAAGCAAUGCUGAAGAAGGGAAGAACAGAGUUGGAAGGCAGGGUCUAUUUCAAAGCAGGAUUUUUCUUCUUUCCAUAACACCCGAACAUGAAGACUCUAUAAACUUCAUUAGAUCCUGCCAUCAAUGACUGAGCCUCCUUGAAAUCUUCUUAUCAGUUACUGCCAAGAUGAGAAGGAUAACAGGAAGGAGGAGUGCUUAAGUGGUUUUAAUGACGGUUAAUUUCAUCUAUUUAUCAAAUGACAGGUUGUUUUUUCCUCAAAACUCAAUUGUCAUGACAAGAUGCUUUUGGAAGUCAUCUUUGUAAAAUAAAACUGACAAUUUUUAGGCUACAAAGAGCUAUUGUAUCUUUCUAUACAAUGUUGUCAUUAUGGUAAACCACUGGAAGGUCUUUAUUUUUGAAGUAAUUUAACUUGCAUACUUCAUUAAUUUAUUUGAAUGUCUGUUGAAUGCCAUGUGAAAAGUUUCUUGCCAGAGUUCUUUUAUUCAAUGGAAUAGUUAUUCUUACAAUGCUCAAUUUAUUAUUGUCUAAAUUACUGUUGCUUUAGCCUCCUGUAAAAAUGUUUCUUUUUAGUAAUUCUUAAAUAAGGAAUGAAUGAGGUUUUGUCCCCUUCGUGUUUUGAUCGGUGUAUUUUUUCCUUUCAGUGAAAGCUUCUUCAGUUUUCAGAAUUACACUGUUGCAAAGAAAGGUGC